AACUCACCAGCGGCAGGACUCUCCGGUGCGACAGCUUCUCUGACUCACGUUGCGGUUGGGUAUUUUGCUCCAAUCAACUUGUAGAGAAGGAGACGGUGAUCACAACGGUAGCAAAAUUAUGCUGAACGGGAAUCGGAAAGGGCCUCAUCAGAGGCAUUUUAUGAAAUUCCCUACAGUGGUGCCGUCGGCCUUUACCCAUAGUUUUCAGCCGAUGGACCAAUCCUUUUACUCUGAUUUGACCAUGUGGGUGUUUAAAUUGAAUUCCGAGUAAAGGGAGAAUUUUUUACCUUUUUUAGUGGUCAGAAGUAGCUCCGGCGCCGCGGCGGGUGGCGGCGGCUGGGUCUUCUUCUCCAACGAGGGUGGCUGGAGGCUAGGGUUA
rnacentral:lncRNA from 1 species